UAUGAAGAACGCAGCGAAAUGCGAUAAGUAGUGUGAAUUGCAGAAUUCAGUGAAUCAUCGAAUCUUUGAACGCACAUUGCGCCCUUUGGUAUUCCUUAGGGCAUGCCUGUUCGAGCGUCAUUUAAACCUUCAAGCUAAGCUUGGUGUUGGGUGACUGUCCGCUUCACUGCGGACUCGCCUCAAAAUUAUUGGCGGCCGGUACAUUGGCUUCGAGCGCAGCAGAAACGCGAACUCGGGCCCGUCGUAUUGGCUCCCAGAAGCUAUCUUCACAAUUUUGACCUCGGAUCAGGUAGGGAUACCCGCUGAACUUAAGCAUAUCAAUAAGCGGAGGA
rnacentral:misc_RNA from 1 species